GUCUCAGUUCGGAUUGAAGGCUGAAAUUCGCCUUCAUGAAGCCGGAAUUGCUAGUAAUGGCAGGUCAGCAUACUGCCGUGAAUACGUUCCCGGGCCUUGUACACACCGCCCGUCACACCAUGAGAGUUGGGAAUACCCGAAGCCUGUGAGCUAACUUUUAGAGGCAGCAGUCGAAGGUAGAAUCAAUGAUUGGGGUGAAGUCGUAACAAGGUAUC
rnacentral:rRNA from 1 species